rnacentral:lncRNA from 1 species
GUGUGUGUAUGUAUUGUAUGAAUGUGUUACUUCUUGGGAAUAGUUUCUCAAAGGAGGCGACUAAUAGGGAGCUUGCUAUUUUGGUAAAGAGCAGAAAUUAGGAUUACUUCUGAAUAACAUCAAAUUACUUACAUCUAGUCUCCACUAAGGCAAUGGCAGAAGAUGUGGGGCAUGAGUGACUGUCUUCCUUGAGUAGUGCUGCAAUAGAGUCCUAUAGGUGUUUAAAACUAGGGGUGGUGGGAGUAGUGGUGGUGAUAUUUAAUUAAUGUAGAGGAAAUGAAGUCCCUGUGCUCACAAAUAAGCACUAGAGAAACCAGGGAAGUUGAGCAUUCAACCUUGUCUCUCUAAAGGAAAGGAUAUGUUUGCCUGUUUUCCAGCAGAAGACUAAGAGUAGAUGUUGUUAAUAACCUGGUGAUCUUUUGAUAUCUGUAGAUUUUUGGCUUUACCCAAAUCCCACAGAAUCCUAAGGAUUAUUCUCAGUCUAUAGAACCCAUGCUUAUGGAAGAGGUCUGUGUAUGUUUGCAGCAGAAUCUUAUUCCAGUCCCGUUCUUCCUAGACCAUUAGCAUGAGCAUUGCUUCUCAGUCGAUAGAAACUAUUUUAUGGAAGAAGACAUAAGUAUUUUGCAAAGGACAUGUACUUUGGAAUGGAACUUCAAUGUAGUUAUGCCUUGAGCUUUGUUGUAAUAAUUAUCACAAGGAAACUUUUCCCCAAGUUUGCACUGUGUUUAUAUAUGUCAAAAUACACUGUAUAGGGUCAGAUUCUAGAAGGUUGGACCAGUCUAGGUAACUAAGUUGUUUUGUUCCAAUUUCUUUCUCACCUUUCUCAGAUAGUCAGGGAUACCAACAAUGUAGGUGCUAUUUAAAGUUGUCCACCUUUGUGUUAACCUUCUAGGAUUCUAAUAUUAAAUAUACUAGGUAAGUGACAUUUCUACUAAAUAUUCAAUGGAAAAAUGAUGUUGGGGUAUAUCGUUCUGUCAGUUUCAAAGUGGUAGGCUCAAGGUUAAUAGCUUAAGGUGUGGCCAGAGACAGUUUUCUGUUCUUCUCAUCCAUUUAUGACAAGUGGGCUUUACAAGAGGCUUCUGAAGCAAGGAUCUGCUUCUGACUCCCACAUGUGCCAUGUGCUUUGCAGUUUCAGAAAGCUAUUAUUUGGAGAUAAAGAGCAAAUAAAAAGCAGAUGUUAGAGAGAGGGAGAAAAAGAGCUAUUAAAGUAGAGGUGAAUUCUGAAGUUUUAGCCAAAAGAGGGCACAUCUCCCACCUCAGAAGGCAAGCUGAGAGAAAGGAUUAUCAAACACAGCUGAAGUCUGCUUUAUCCUUUUGGAACCUUGCUCACUUUUGGACUUUCAGAAUCCUGUGGUUUUAAACAUUUAUUUUAUCUUUGACAUUAAUCAGUGGGGAGGAAUAAGACGUGCUGACAGAUCAUAUCUCUCUGACACAUUCUAUCAAAACUUGAAACUUGGUGCUUGGCAACAAAGCCAUGUCACAAAGUAGAAGCAGAAUAAAGAACUC